rnacentral:rRNA from 1 species
UACAGAGGUCUCAAGCGUUGUUCGGAUUCAUUGGGCGUAAAGGGUGCGUAGGCGGCGCGGUAAGUCGGGUGUGAAUCUCGGAGCUUAACUCCGAACUGCAUUCGAUACUGCCGUGCUUGAGGACUGGAGAGGAGACUGGAAUUUACGGUGUAGCGGUGAAAUGCGUAGAUAUCGUAAGGAAGACCAGUGGCGAAGGCGGGUCUCGUGGACAGUUCCUGACGCUGAGGCACGAAGGUCAGGGAGCAAACGGG